rnacentral:rRNA from 1 species
CACGUAGGAGGCGAGCGUUGUCCGGAAUCAUUGGGCGUAAAGAGCGCGCAGGCGGCUUGGCAAGUCGGGUGUGAAAUCCCGGGGCUCAACCCCGUGACUGCAUCCGAUACUGUCAGGCUAGAGGUAGGUAGGGGAGAUCGGAAUUCCUGGUGUAGCGGUGAAAUGCGUAGAUAUCGGGAGGAACACCAGUGGCGAAGGCGGCUGCCUGGGCCAGUUCUGACGCUGAGGCGCGAAAGCGUGGGGAGCAAACAGG